UGCAAGUCGAACGGCAGCACGGGUGCUUGCACCUGGUGGCGAGUGGCGAACGGGUGAGUAAUACAUCGGAACGUACCUUAUCGUGGGGGAUAACGCAGCGAAAGCUGUGCUAAUACCGCAUACGCCCUGAGGGGGAAAGCGGGGGAUCGAAAGACCUCGCGCGAUUAGAGCGGCCGAUGCCUGAUUAGCUUGUUGGUGGGGUAAAAGCCCACCAAGGCGACGAUCAGUAGCUGGUCUGAGAGGACGAUCAGCCACACUGGGACUGAGACACGGCCCAGACUCCUACGGGAGGCAGCAGUGGGGAAUUUUGGACAAUGGGGGCAACCCUGAUCCAGCAAUGCCGCGUGAGUGAAGAAGGCCUUCGGGUUGUAAAGCUCUUUUGUCAGGGAAGAAACACCGGCUCUAACACAGUCCGGGAAUGACGGUACCUGAAGAAUAAGCACCGGCUAACUACGUGCCAGCAGCCGCGGUAAUACGUAGGGUGCGAGCGUUAAUCGGAAUUACUGGGCGUAAAGCGUGCGCAGGCGGUUAUACAAGACAGGCGUGAAAUCCCCGGGCUUAACCUGGGAAUGGCGCCUGUGACUGUAUAGCUAGAGUGUGUCAGAGGGGGGUAGAAUUCCACGUGUAGCAGUGAAAUGCGUAGAUAUGUGGAGGAAUACCAAUGGCGAAGGCAGCCCCCUAGGAUAACACUGACGCUCAU
rnacentral:rRNA from 1 species